rnacentral:rRNA from 1 species
UACAGAGGUGGCAAGCGUUGUUCGGAAUUACUGGGCGUAAAGGGCGCGUAGGCGGUUCGAUAAGUCCCGUGUGAAAGCCCUCAGCUCAACUGAGGAAGUGCGCCCGAAACUGCAGAGCUUGAGUACCGGAGAGGGUGGCGGAAUUCCCCAAGUAGAGGUGAAAUUCGUAGAUAUGGGGAGGAACACCGGUGGCGAAGGCGGCCACCUGGACGGUCACUGACGCUGAGACGCGAAAGCGUGGGGAGCAAACAGG